ensembl:lncRNA
AAAUACUGAAAUAUGUCCCAUCUUAUAACUUCAUUAUUUUGUGUGUUUUUAAUUUCGUGCAGAGUUUUGGCCAUGUUGGUCCUCCAUAUUUAACCUCUUUCAACCUGGUCACAGUAAUUUAAGUGUUGAAACAUGAAUAUUAAUCGAUUAUUGAUUAACCUUUUUUUCACAUUUUUAAAUGUUUAUUAUUGAUCAAGUUAGUAAUUAUUGUUCCCAUUAAGUUAUUGAUUAUUUGAUCAGUGAAAAAAAGAAAAAAAUAUGUUUAGACCAAAUAGCGGUUCCAGAUUGAUUUUCUAAUUGAUCUUUUGAUUGAUUAUUCGGCCUCUUCAUGUUGGAAAGUUUCUGCGAGGAUUUCUGUGGAAAUAAUUAACAGAAGGAAAACAAAAAUCAGGAAAUAGAAUAAUUUUCCAUUUUUCUCCACCAGUCAGAGCUUGUCAGUCCCACCUGUAAACACAAGUAAACAGAGCCUUCUGAUUGGCCGACAGACAGCCUGUGACAGUGAACGCUGGUGAGGCGGAGAGUCGAGGUGUCCUCGUGGACGUUCAGAAUCAAAACAAGCUCCUCAGACUUUGUACCUGCAUGUAGUAAAUACUCAGUUUUCUUAAACUGUGAUUGGCUCAGAGCUGUAAAGGUGCAGGACCUGUUAUUUCUGUAGCAAGGAGACGGAAAGGCACACUUUCAAAGCUCAAUUCAUCAAAUAACCUCAGUCUGCACCAAUGAACCAGCUUCAGGCUGUGUGAAGACCUUCCAACCAAACUCAAUUUAAAUAUCCUACGUUUUUAUUACCAGUAUCAUGGUCUCCUAAAUUCAGCACAGACACUGAGACCUGGUAAAAAAAAUAUGUUUAUAUCUUUAUUUUAUUUUACCAGGAAGUCUCACUGACACCAUAUCUCUAGCUUCGAGCCCUUACUCAGGAAGGAACCUUUAACUACAAUUCAGCCAAACUCAAUUCAAAAAUCUAAAUACAUCCUGCUGGUGUUAGUAAUUAGUCCCGAUAAAUUCAGCACCAUCUUUGUUGUUGUCGUCAUCAUAAUCAUCAGGGUUUUUCCUGCUUACAAAAAGUUCUUGUUUUACCCCCAAUGUAAAAGAAAAAUCCCCAGAAAUGUGGUGCAAGUGGGUGUGAUUUGGAUUAAAUGGUCUUAGUCUCAAAUAUGUCUCCAAACAAAACAAAACCCGCUGAACCACCACAUUUCACAAACAUGUUUAACAAACCCUGACCAAGCCUCAUUAAAAAGCUUUUGUUUUUAGGAUUCAUAUUCACCCACCAGUGUUGAUGGUUAAUGCUGAGUCUCUGGAGCACAUUUAACCAAACUUCAUUCAAAAAUUGCAUGUUUUUUGGGGGGGCCUGUGGAAUCUUGUGGUUGCCUCAUUAAUCCAACAGACAUGCAAGCACUUAAUUUAAUGAAAAAAAAACAUUUAGUCAUGGAUUCAACCUGUUUGUUACCGUAGAAAUGAAGGUUACACAAGUGACCAUGUUAUGUUUUUGUCAAGUUGUCCCUGAUCGGGUACAGGGCGUCGAUGCUGCAUGCUCACGCUCUGUCACCUUUCUUUAAAAUCAUUUUCAAACAUCCAAUCACAGCUCAGCAUCGGCCAAGAAGAAGGGGCAGAGCUGAUUGGUCAUGUAGCUGCUCAGGUAAACAGGGUGUGUCCUGUGAUGUGUGUAUAAGGAGGGCCAAUCAGGGUGUUUGUUUGUGCUUCAGCCUUGAUAUCUGACCAGUUCCAUGAUGAAGAUGACAAAGAGCAGCUGAAUUAAGCAUGGAUGCACCAAGCAGGCAGGGCGUGUGCACGUUCUUGUACAUAUCGCAGCCCCUGUGAUCUGAUGAAGUAUAUAAUUAAUCGUGUCUGUAUUUCUGGUAUGUUUCUGAAGCAUGUAAACGAUGAACUGAUCAGCUCCUACCAGGAGAUCAAUAAAUUUUAUAUGGUGCCUCAUCAAUAAUGUCUCACUGCUGCUUAUACUUCAUGCUGUUAUUGAUUCACACCCACAGGACAAAACUAUGGAAGCCCAGGUAUGUGUGUAAUAAAUGGUUGGGGUUUUUUUUAUCAUUUAUUGAAAGGAAAAAGCUGAAUAUCUUCAUUAAUAAUCAGAUAUUUUUUUUAAUAAAAACAUAAUACAAAGAAACAAAUGAUGCUAAUAAAAUCUCUCUGUUAAAUUUUGUUUCUCUGGUUAGUUUAUGAAGGCCCAUUCUUUAUAGAAGCCUGAGUGUGCCAGGAAACCUGAAACGUGUUUAUAGACUGGUCAUAUUUGUUGUUUAAGUUCUUCUAGCAAGAACUGCUGCAAGUUAUUCCAUUCAUUUUCUAGAUUUGUAGAAAUAACAAAUGUUCAUGAUUAAACUUCCUGGUGCUUUAAAUUAAAGAUGUAAAAAUUUAGAUUCUUUUCCCCACAUUUUUAAAUGUGCAAAUGAGAACAUUGUGCAGUAGUCAGCUUUAUGAAUUUGUCUCAGUGUACUGUUUUUCAUUUGGUGGCUAUGUAUAAAUUAUUUUUCUCACAAAUAAACAUAUGAAUCACAUAUUAUCAAUAACAAUGUCAAAAACAGAUUCAGUUAACUGUAAAUUGGUCUUUGAAAAUAAAAUCUUGUAAUAAAGGACAAUGUGAC